rnacentral:rRNA from 1 species
CGAUUGAUGCCUAGUGAGGGCAUUCCCCUGGCGCCCUUGGAGCGGUCCCUUCUCUCUCCUCGUGGGAGGAAGGGGUUUACACUGCUCCUUGGGUAUAAGACGGAAAGAUGUCCAAGCUGGGUCAUUUAGAGGAAGUAAAAGUCGUAACAAGGUUUCCGUAGGUGAACCUGCGGAAGGAUCAU